AGCGUACUCCUAGAAGGGAAUGCAUUUUUGUGUCUUUACUCAUCCUAACUGGCUCCUAACCCUGUAGUCGAGCUGGUGAAGAUGAAUUUGUAGUAUGGAUGUUUGUCAGAAAAUAUCUCGUCUUCUAAAAUAUCUGGUAUUCUGAACUUCCCCUUCAUCCUAUUUACACAUGCCCUUCCUUAUAAAAACUGCAAUUUUUCGUAACUAUCAGAGUUAUCAUUAAUUCUUACAAUUUUCUUGGUUAAAAAAAAAAAAAAAAAAAAUUUGGAAAUCAAAAAGACAACAGGUGAUAACAACUUCCACCACCGAAGGUGGGCUUUUGUCUAUAUCACAGGCAGGUAUGGAGUCCAUUUGAUAGAAAUCUUCUGGCCUG
rnacentral:sRNA from 1 species